rnacentral:rRNA from 1 species
AUACGGAGGGUGCGAGCGUUAAUCGGAAUUACUGGGCGUAAAGCGUGCGUAGGCGGUUAUUUAAGUCAGAUGUGAAAGCCCAGGGCUCAACCUUGGAACUGCAUUUGAAACUGGGUAACUAGAGUUUGGUAGAGGUGAGUAGAAUUCCUAGUGUAGCGGUGAAAUGCGUAGAUAUUAGGAGGAAUACCAGUGGCGAAGGCGGCUCACUGGACCAAAACUGACGCUGAGGUACGAAAGCGUGGGGAGCGAACGGGAUUAGAAACCCUAGUAGUCCC